AUCCAGAGUGGCCUGGUGUGACUUUGACAGGUAGAAAUAGGCCCAGAGUGGCCUGGUGUGACUUGGACAGGUAGAAAUAGGCCCAGAGUGGCCUGGUGUGACUUGGACAGGUAGAAAUAGGCCCAGAGUGGCCUGGUGUGACUUGGACAGGUAGAAAUAGGCUGAAAGUGGCCCAGAGUGACUUGGACAGGUAGAAAUAGGCCCAGAGUGGCCUGGUGUGACUUGGACAGGUAGAAAUAGGCUGAAAGCGGCCCAGAGUGACUUGGACAGGUUGAAAUAGGCCCAGAGUGGCCUGGUGUGACUUGGACAGGUAGAAAUAGGCUGAAAGCAGCCCAGAGUGACUUGGACAGGUUGAAAUAGGCCCAGAGUGGCCUGGUGUGACUUGGACAGGUAGAAAUAGGCUGAAAGCAGCCCAGAGUGACUUGGACAGGUAGAAAUAGGCCCAGAGUGACUUGGACAGGUUGAAAUAGGCUGAGAGUGGCCCAGAGUGACUUGGACAGGUAGAAAUAGGCCCAGAGUGGCCUGGUGUGACUUGGACAGGUAGAAAUAGGCCCAGAGUGGCCUGGUGUGACUUGGACAGGUAGAAAUAGGCUGAAAGUGGCCCAGAGUGACUUGGACAGGUAGAAAUAGGCCCAGAGUGGCCUGGUGUGACUUGGACAGG
rnacentral:lncRNA from 1 species